GACGAACGCUGGCGGCGUGCUUAACACAUGCAAGUCGAACGGAAAGGCCCUGCUUUUGUGGGGUGCUCGAGUGGCGAACGGGUGAGUAACACGUGAGUAACCUGCCCUUGACUUUGGGAUAACUUCAGGAAACUGGGGCUAAUACCGGAUAGGAGCUCCUGCUGCAUGGUGGGGGUUGGAAAGUUUCGGCGGUUGGGGAUGGACUCGCGGCUUAUCAGCUUGUUGGUGGGGUAGUGGCUUACCAAGGCUUUGACGGGUAGCCGGCCUGGGAGGGUGACCGGCCACAUUGGGACUGAGAGACGGCCCAGACGCCUACGGGAGGCAGCAGGGGGGAAUAUUGCACAAUGGGCGGAAGCCUGAUGCAGCAACGCCGCGUGCGGGAUGACGGCCUUCGGGUUGUAAACCGCUUUCGCCUGUGACGAAGCGUGAGUGACGGUAAUGGGUAAAGAAGCACCGGCUAACUACGU
rnacentral:rRNA from 1 species